UACAGCGGACCGUUUCACUCUCUCUCUCCCCCCCCUCUCUCUCUCCGGCUUCUCUUCACAUAUCUUCCUCUGGAUCUGCAAAUGCGCACCGUUUUGAUCGCGCCAAUCGGUUUCCUCUCCCUGUCGAUUCUCUGCGUUUUGCAUUCUAAAGCUCAGUUCUCAGCUUGUGGGUUUGUCGUGCGCGAAGGUAGGCACUGCCUCUUCUUAGCUAGAAUAUAAUGAUUUGGAGAACAUAUUGUGGAAAGAGUUGCUGUCGAGUGGGAAUUGGGGUAUGCAGCUUUACCUAUUUGUCAAAUAGCUAUGGAAGGUGACAGGACAAUCUCUACUACCCAAGAUGGGUUCGGGGAUGGUGGUCAGAAAAUGCGAGCUCUACAUGGGAGGACUAGUGGUCCGACAAGGCGUUCUACCAAAGGACAAUGGACACUUGAAGAGGAUGAGAUUUUGCGGAAGGCUGUUCAGAGCUUUAAAGGAAAG